GAUGAACGCUGACAGAAUGCUUAACACAUGCAAGUCAACUUGAAUUUGGGUUUUUAACUUAGGUUUGGGUGGCGGACGGUUGAGUAACGCGUAAAGAACUUGCCUCACAGCUAGGGACAACAUUUGGAAACGAAUGCUAAUACCUAAUAUUAUGAUACUAGGGCAUCCUAUAAUUAUGAAAGCUAUAAGCGCUGUGAGAGAGCUUUGCGUCCCAUUAGAUAGUUGGAGAGGUAACGGCUCACCAAGGCGAUGAUGGGUAGCCGGCCUGAGAGGGUGAUCGGCCACAAGGGGAAUGAGACACGGCACUGACGAAUACGGGAGGCAGCAGUGGGGAAUAAUGGACAAUGGACCGAGAGUCUGAGACAGCAAUUCUGUGUGAACGAUGAAGUUUAUCGGAAUGUAAAGUGCUUUCAGUUGGGAAGAAACAAAUGACGGUACCAACAGAAGAAGUGACGGCUAAAUACGUG
rnacentral:rRNA from 1 species